rnacentral:misc_RNA from 1 species
GAUGAAGAACGUAGCGAAAUGCGAUAAGUAGUGUGAAUUGCAGAAUUCAGUGAAUCAUCGAAUCUUUGAACGCACAUUGCGCUCUUUGGUAUUCCAAAGGGCAUGCCUGUUCGAGCGUCAUUUGUACCCUCAAGCUUUGCUUGGUGUUGGGCGUCUUGUCUCUAGCUUUGCUGGAGACUCGCCUUAAAGUAAUUGGCAGCCGGCCUACUGGUUUCGGAGCGCAGCACAAGUCGCACUCUCUAUCAGCAAAGGUCUAGCAUCCAUUAAGCCUUUUUUUCAACUUUUGACCUCGGGUCAGGUAGGGAUACCCGCUGAACUUAAGCAUAUCAAUAAGCGGAGGA